GUGAAGUGAUGAUGAAGUUUAUCCAUUCUCUGAGUGUUGCUGCUCUGCCCUUCCUGCCACAUCUUGAUUCCUGUUCUUGGGUCUUGGUGUUGAGUGGCCUCCAGGCACCUUUAAGCCUUCCAGUGUUCUACUGGGGGGCAUGGGGAUGCUUGGCUGGCUGCUGGCAGGGCCUGGGUGGAACAAGCAGGGUCAGAGGCCUUUAUGGGGCUCUGACUCAACCAGGAAGAAUGAAACUGUCUGAUCAC
ensembl:snoRNA small nucleolar RNA SNORD17